CGCAGGGUAGGGAAGCGGCCAUCCCGCGUGGUUCAUACCCACGAAAUCGCAGGUUCGAGUCCUGCCCCUGCAACCA
rnacentral:tRNA from 1 species